rnacentral:rRNA from 1 species
AUCCGGGUUGCGGACAGUGUCUGGUGGGUAGUUUGACUGGGGCGGUCUCCUCCUAAAGAGUAACGGAGGAGCACGAAGGUUGGCUAAUCCUGGUCGGACAUCAGGAGGUUAGUGCAAUGGCAUAAGCCAGCUUGACUGCGAGCGUGACGGCGCGAGCAGGUGCGAAAGCAGGUCAUAGUGAUCCGGUGGUUCUGAAUGGAAGGGCCAUCGCUCAACGGAUAAAAGGUACUCCGGGGAUAACAGGCUGAUACCGCCCAAGAGUUCAUAUCGACGGCGGUGUUUGGCACCUCGAUGUCGGCUCAUCACAUCCUGGGGCUGAAGUAGGUCCCAAGGGUAUGGCUGUUCGCCAUUUAAAGUGGUACGCGAGCUGGGUUUAGAACGUCGUGAGACAGUUCGGUCCCUAUCUGCCGUGGGCGCUGGAGAACUGAGGGGGGCUGCUCCUAGUACGAGAGGACCGGAGUGGACGCAUCACUGGUGUUCGGGUUGUCAUGCCAAUGGCACUGCCCGGUAGCUAAAUGCGGAAGAGAUAAGUGCUGAAAGCAUCUAAGCACGAAACUUGCCCCGAGAUGAGUUCUCCCUUGGACUUUAAGUCCACUGAAGGAACGUUGAAGACGACGACGUUGAUAGGCCGGGUGUGUAAGCGCAGCGAUGCGUUGAGCUAACCGGUACUAAUGAACCGUGAGGCUUAACCUUACAACGCCGAAG